rnacentral:rRNA from 1 species
AUUGAACGCUGGCGGCAGGCCUAUCACAUGCAAGUCGAGCGGGGUUUUCGGACCUAGCGGCGGACGGGUGAGUAAUGCGUAGGAAGCUGCCCGAUAGAGGGGGAUACCAGUUGGAAACGACUGUUAAUACCGCAUAAUGUCUACGGACCAAAGUGUGGGACCUUCGGGCCACAUGCUAUCGGAUGCGCCUACGUGGGAUUAGCUAGUCGGUGAGGUAAUGGCUCACCAAGGCGACGAUCUCUAGCUGGUUUGAGAGGAUGAUCAGCCACACUGGAACUGAGACACGGUCCAGACUCCUACGGGAGGCAGCAGUGGGGAAUAUUGGACAAUGGGCGCAAGCCUGAUCCAGCCAUGCCGCGUGUGUGAAGAAGGCCUUCGGGUUGUAAAGCACUUUCAGCGAGGAGGAAGGGUGGUGUGUUAAUAGCACAUCAUUUUGACGUUACUCGCAGAAGAAGCACCGGCUAACUCUGUGCCAGCCGCCGCAGUAAUAC